rnacentral:rRNA from 1 species
CUACGUGCCAGCAGCCGCGGUAAUACGGAAGGUCCAGGCGUUAUCCGGAUUUAUUGGGUUUAAAGGGAGUGUAGGCGGUCUGUUAAGCGUGCUGUGAAAUUUAGGUGCUCAACAUCUACCUUGCAGCGCGAACUGGCGGACUUGAGUGCACGCAACGUAUGCGGAAUUCAUGGUGUAGCGGUGAAAUGCUUAGAUAUCAUGACGAACUCCGAUUGCGAAGGCAGCGUACGGGAGUGUUACUGACGCUUAAGCUCGAAGGUGCGGGUAUCGAACAGGAUUAGAUACCCUGGUAGUCCGCACGGUAAACGAUGGAUGCCCGCUGUUAGCGCCUGGCGUUAGCGGCUAAGCGAAAGCAUUAAGCAUCCCACCUGGGGAGUACGCCGGCAACGGUGAAACUCAAAGGAAUUGACGGGGGCCCGCACAAGCGGAGGAACAUGUGGUUUAAUUCGAUGAUACGCGAGGAACCUUACCCGGGCUUGAA